rnacentral:misc_RNA from 1 species
UUUCCGUAGGUGAACCUGCGGAAGGAUCAUUAUUGUAUAACCGAGGUGCGAGGGCUGUCGCUGACCCGAAAGGUCGUGCACGCCCGAGUGCCCUCACACACAUACAUCUCACCCCUAUGUGCACCACCGCGUGGGUCCUCCUUGGCUUGUUCGGAGGGGGGCUUACGUUUUCACACAAACUUUGUAUGCAGUGUAGAAUGUAUUUUUUGUUUUUGCGAUCACGCAAUCAAUACAACUUUCAACAACGGAUCUCUUGGCUCUC